UGCAACACCACAGGCAUCAACUCCAACAAGCAGGGCAACGCGGACUCCCAUUUUAUCCACUCCUGUUGCAAGUAUCCAGCAGCUUGAAAGCACCACGGAAGGCUUCGAAAAUCCUGAUGAACAGAUCGAAGACACUUCACCUGGCACAUCAUUGGCACAGCCACUUCCACCUUUCACCUUGC